rnacentral:lncRNA from 1 species
AUGAUCGCAAUUACACUGCAAGUUAUUUUGAUAAUGGGUUUUGACUCCUUAGCUACAAGUCCAAAGAAUUUAUCAGUCAUCCAGACACCGACGAAAGUAYACUUAUCAGUUGGAGACUCCACUGAAAUUGCAUGUAUUUGGGAAAAAAUCAGUUUGAUUGAGAGGUAUAGAGUAAGCUGGUAUCUUGUCAAUGAAGAGAACAUCACAAAGACUGUAACAUCGGACCUUGUCUACAUGUCCAAUGUCGCCCGUGAAAACAAGGAUGUGCUAGUGAUAGAAGCUGCCAAUGUAAAUAACACUGGACUUUAUUACUGUGAGGUAAUUAUUGAAAUACCUUUCUGUGAAAGAGUAUAUGGAAGUGGAACGAUGCUGACUGUUGGGAAGAAAGCCUUCCCUCAACACUGUAGAUUUCAGGAUGAGUGAGACAAACGCAAGGACCUGAAUGACUCUUUGCAGCAAUCCACUUAUCCUCUCUGCCUCAAUACCCUCAUUGCAAAGUGUUCGUUUUCUUGUAUAAGGGUUUGCUGAGAGGAAUCAUUACUGUUAGCGUGUGCAAAAUCUGUGUAUCAGCUAUGUAUUUCACAGAAGACCCAAACGCCUUUCCUUCCUAGAAGAGAUUCGGUAGGCUAGGUGUGAGACAAGGAAGGAAUCUGCUGUGUGGUAAGGAGCGGCUGAAACAAUCGCAUGGUUACUCUGUUCAGUAAUAUGCAGAUCUUACUAGCCUGGGGGAAAAAUUAAGGUCCCAGUUCAGAAUUCAGCAUUGGUAAGCAUUAGUACAAUGAGUUUUCAAACAUAGUUGUUUUUAGGCAAUAGGGAUGACACACAUUUCACCUAACUUUAGAGAAAGAAUGUGUCAUACCUAGAGGAC